AACAGCUUCUCCCCUAAACCCUAGCUUCUCCACCACCGCCGCAAGGACUGCCGCCGUCCGACGCUCUCAGGCACUACCAUCGUCGUCUGGUCGUCCGUGCUUCUUCCUCCUUCAAGAAUCGCAGCUUCUUCUUCCUCGACCUCGGCGCGUCAGUUCCUGGUAUUCAUCUGCUCCAUCGCGCUCCUGCCGCCGUCCGUCCGGCGCUCAGUCACCAUCGUCUUCGUCUGGUCGUCACAGAUUCUUCCAACCCACCACCGUCUUCUGAGUUGUGUUCGUCGCCUGGCCUCUGUCUCCGUCACGAUUCUGCCCCCCUCUUCUCAGACUGCUCAGUAGAAAAACCCAUCUCCAUUCCAGUUUCCUUCCUUCGAGUUCAGAGAGAAGAAGCUCAACCAAGAAAAAAACCUACUUCGACGGUCAGUAUGUACCCGAAGCCAUGCAUCAUAUCCCUCCAACUCCUUCCAUGGCUGCUGCAAGAGAAGAAGCUGAGAAUGUUAUGUUUGGUGCUUUGGAUAAUCUCUCUGCUAAUACAAAGAUUAAGCCUAAGGAUAUUGGUGUUCUUGUUGUGAAUUGCAGUUUGUUUAACCCAACUCCUUCACUUUCUGCAAUGAUUGUGAACAAGUACAAGCGUAGGGGUAACAUUAGAAGCUUCAAUUUGGGUGGUAUGGGUUGUAGUGCAGGAGUUAUAGCCAUUGAUCUUGCUAAGGACAUGCUUCAAGUUCAUAGGAACACUUAUGCUGUUGUUGUUAGCACUGAGAACAUUACUCAGAAUUGGUACUUUGGGAACAAGAAAUCUAUGCUGAUCCCAAAUUGUUUGUUCCGUGUUGGUGGUUCUGCUGUUUUGUUGUCCAACAAAGGCUCUGUUAAGAGAAGAGCAAAGUACAAGCUUGUUCAUGUUGUGAGGACUCAUAAGGGUGCUGAUGAUAAAGCUUUCAGGUGUGUGUAUCAAGAACAAGAUGAUGAUGGCAAAACUGGUGUUUCUCUCUCAAAGGAUCUUAUGGCUAUUGCUGGUGGGGCUUUGAAGACUAACAUCACAACUUUGGGGCCUCUUGUUCUUCCAAUAAGUGAACAGCUUCUGUUCUUUGCUACUUUGGUUGUUAAGAAGCUUCUGAAUGCAAAAUUGUAAGGAAGAAGGCACGUAUGGAAGUGAGGGAUAAAAUUUUAGUAUUGCUGGACUCAUGGCAAGAGGCAUUUGGCGGGCCUGGUGGAAAGUAUCCUCAGUACUAUUGGGCAUAUGAGGAAUUGAAGUCACCAUCGUCUUCGUCUGGUCGUCGCAGAUUCUUCCAACCCACCACCGUCUUCUGAGUUGUGUUCGUCGCCUGGCCUCUGUCUCCGUCACGAUUCUGCCCCCCCUCUUCUCAGACUGCUCAGAAGAAAAACCCAGCUCCAUUCCAGUUUCCUUCCUUCGAGUUCAGAGAGCAGAAGCUCAACCAAGAAAAAAACCUUAGACUUCGACGGCUUUAAGGCUGGCAGAUUUAUCAGCUGAGAUUUUUCACAUUGUCUAGAGUGGCUUCUUUUUACGGUAUUUGAAGCAGAUAUAUCCAGUGUUAGGAUCACAUUGGGCAGAUUUGCUUUGAGCAUUGGGAUGGCUGAGAAGCGGAAUUUGUGGAGAAUAGGGAGAGGAAGUAUCUAGGGUUUGAAGACAAUCGACUGAAAACUGCAUAAUGAGAUUUCAGGGUUUGCAUCUGAAGUUUAGGAUGGAGAAUGUUCCAAUUUUGCAUAAUUGACAUUUGACAGUGACACUUUUAAGGAUAAUGAUAUACCCAGUCGUACUGCACUUUUAAGGAUCACACUCAUGUAUUUUUAUGGACCAAAUAGCGAGCUUAUUAUCGACAGUAUUUAUUUAUUUAUGUACUUCAAAUCGUCUAACAGUUUUUGGAUGGAAGUUCAGAACACAACAAUAAUAAAAGGUCGAGUCCUUAUAUAUUGGA